GGGGGGGGGGGGGGGGGGGGGGGGCGGGGGGAGGGGGGGGGGGGGGGCCGGGCGGUUGGGGGGGGCGGGGGGGGCGGGGGGGGGCGGAGCGCGUGAGGAAGCGGCCGUUGACUGUGGGCUGGGUUCGGGAAACUGGGGCUAAUACGGGAUAGGAGCUCCUGCGGCGGGGGGGGGGGUGGAAAGGUUCGGGGGUGGGGGAUGGACUCGCGGCUUUUCCGCUUGUGGGGUGGGGAGUGUCUGACCAAGGCUUUGACGGGUAGCCGGCAUGAGAGGGUGACGGGCCAAAUUGGGACUGAGAUACGGCCCAGACUCCUACGGGAGGCAGCAGUGGGGAAUAUUGCACAAUGGGCGGAAGCCUGAUGCAGCAACGCCGCGUGCGGGAUGACGGCCUUCGGGUUGUAAACCGCUUUCGCCUGUGACGAAGCGUGAGUGACGGUAAUGGGUAAAGAAGCACCGGCUAACUACGUG
rnacentral:rRNA from 1 species